CAGUGCCGCGAGGAGCGGUGAAAACCCUAGCCAAUCCUCUCUCGUCCCCGCGCCUCCAUUCUCGUCCCUCCACGCUAUCCUCCCGCGCCUCCCUCAUAGCCCCGGCGCGGCGCCGCCUCUACCACCUCCUCCUCUCUCUGCUUGCCUCCUCUCUCGCUCAAGAAGGCGGACCGAGCGGCGGCGGCAUAUUGUCCGUAGAUGGAGAAGGCGGACACGAGCGGCGGCGCCAUCUUGUCCGCGGAUGGCAGACGUGUUUCUUGCCGCCGCCGCUGCUCCUCUCCCUCGCCUCCUCUGCGACGCUUCCUCCUCUUCUCUUCUCCCGCUCCAGUCAUGGCGAUGGCGGCCGGGCAGGGAAGCGGCGGCCGGGCCAGGCAGGGCGGCGGCGGCCGGGAACGGAGAAGCGGCCGGGCUGGGAGAGCGUCCUCGUCGCCUUCAACCUCCCCACGCGAGGAUGACAUUAGUCUGCAAUUGUACUCAAUGAACGAUAGCAGUUUUGUUUGCAAAUAGGUUCAGAAAUUUGGUUUCCUGCACACAUCAUAUCAAGAGGAAAAAGUAGGGACGGUGAAGCCUUGGGUUACAUGACAAAUGCAAAAAACUUUUCAAACAGGUGUGCCUGCAAUGGAACAUUGGAUUUCAGCAAUAUUAUUGGUUCUGCAUACAAGGGUACUAUCAAAUGGAGUUGAAAUUGCAGCUGCGUUAAGUUUGGUGACAUUUGCAAAGGAUUGGUUGAAAGAACAGAGUCACCAACUCACCAUACAGGAAAAUAAUAGUAAAACCCGCAACAAAACAUAUAUCUGGAAAAGUUUACGCCGUACUGAUGGGUUGUUCUCCUGUUUUUGACUGCAUCCUUGCGCCGUCGUUACAAGCGAUUUCCCUUCACUACAGCCCCUUUCAUGUCGUUGUUACAAGAGAUUUCACAGUUUCCCCUUGUUACCAUGUUCUUCAGUUAAAAUGCAGUUGUAGUGCUCCAAAGUUAUUUUCUUUACUGUGGUUCGGAUAAGUACAUAUUCAACGAUGUUGGACAUUGCGGUUGGUGGCUACAUAUUUCAAAGAUCAUCUGGGCUAAACCUUGAAAUCAAAUGUAAUUUUGAAGCCAUUCUUGAUUAUUUUGCCAGCUGCGGUACAUGAUCAGAACUAAGGCGACAAUGGCCAGACUAUGUCUGGUGCAUAGAUUUAAUUGAUACAUUGCCAGUUUGGACAACACCUUCAAACAUUAUCUCGGAAAGAGUUCAUCUGCACAACAAGACUUGGAUGGAAAGGCCUUUCUGCCCCAGCACAACAUAACUCCUGGGGUCAUAUUCGGCCUCCCAAGGUCCUACUAGGGUUGUUCUUUCUAAGGGUGAAGCAUUGCCUGUUGUGCCAAUGCCGGGCAAAAGGAAUAGCUCUUUUGAAGGACAAAAUGCUGUAACUCUCUUCAUAUACAAGAUAGAACUUAUGACUUCAAUUCCGGUAUAAUUUCACCACUUGCGCCUGUGGCGCAAUGGGUCAUAUAUUCUCUGAGGUUCCCUAAUGUUCCUGAAAGCUGCCCUCAUGUUUGCUAAUGUUUGAUUUGUGCUGUCGCAAGUAGCUUUUGUUUGCACUACUGGACGAACUAUGUUGAGCUUUACUUCUAGGAGGCAAAUUACUCUUUAGCUUAAACAGAUACUUAGAUUUUACAGGACAUUUUACAUGGCUCUUUGAUCACAUCUCCUGGUAUUUUGGGUCUUUCAGGUGAUAGAAAUAGCCAGAUGGGUCACGAAAACAUCGUGAAGAUGGUGAGAUAUUGCAAGGAGUCUGAUCCGUUCUGAGGAAUGCUUGUCUUUGAGUACCAGCCAAAUGGGACCCUCUACGAUGGGAAAGGAUGUUAACUAUCUUGGCCAUGGCGGGCGAAGAUUGUGCUCAGCAUCGCGCGCAUUCUAAUGCACUUCACAGUGAGCCGAUGGCUCUGUUCGCGCUCCCCGUGUUGACGGCCAGUUCGGUCUAUUAGUUAUAACAUGGCUUCUUCACUGCAGUUGACAACGAAGACUGCAGGGUGAAAACCCCACAUCAAAUUUAUUGAUUAGUAAAGUCAUAUACAAAAGAUUUGCAAAGGUUAGAGAGUCAGCUAGCUAUAACAGAGAGUCAAUCCAUAUUGCAAACUGUUGUGGGUACUUGGCUUUCACCCUAUGCAAGUGCAGGGUGACCUCAUGCCUAAAUUUGCUUCUCCAGGAUCUAAAAGAUGGCAACACAUUCUGAAAAAUAGCUUCAUUUCUCUCUUUCCAAAUGUGCCAGGCAGCUAGAAUAACAACCUCAGUGAAGAAUGGGUGACCAAGCUGCUGCUUUGUCAACAUAAAACUCUGCUCAAUGGAGUUACCCUGCUGCCAGUGAAUCUGUAGAUAGUUCCAUAUCCUGAUGCUAAAGUUGCAGCCAAAAAAGAGAUGCAUCCAAUCCUCAGUGCACCUUGUGGGACACAACACACAGUGAGACAUUCUCCAAAAAAAAAAACACGCACAGUGAAAGACAUCAGUGACAUUCCAGUGUCGUCUGCGAAGCAUGUCUCUGGUAUUUAGUCUAUCACUGAAAAGCAGCCAAGCAUGGUAUUUUCAAUUUAAAUCAUGUAAGUGUGGUUUGUCAUGGAUGUGAUACUCCGUGCUGCAAUCAUUUGGCAAUCAUUCUUGCCACGAAGAAAUUUGUAGAGAUUACCACCUUUGAGAAGGUUAAAAGAUACAAUAUGUUCUCCUCGAGUAAAAUUAGUUCUGCGCAUUCUGAAAUAGAAGUUAUGUCUUGCAACUUCUGGUCACUGCUCUUUGCUAUAAGAAUCAUUGGUUGUUCAGGUAAAAAAAAGAAUCAUUGGUUGUAAUGAGCAUUCAUAGGGCAUAUUGUGGUGUUUAAAAUCUGCAUAGUCAGUUGCUCUUUUA